rnacentral:rRNA from 1 species
GAGUUUGAUCCUGGCUCAGAUUGAACGCUGGCGGCAGGCCUAACACAUGCAAGUCGAACGGUAACAUUUCUAGCUUGCUAGAAGAUGACGAGUGGCGGACGGGUGAGUAAUGCUUGGGAACUUGCCUUUGCGAGGGGGAUAACAGUUGGAAACGACUGCUAAUACCGCAUAAUGUCUUCGGACCAAACGGGGCUUCGGCUCCGGCGCAAAGAGAGGCCCAAGUGAGAUUAGCUAGUUGGUAAGGUAACGGCUUACCAAGGCGACGAUCUCUAGCUGUUCUGAGAGGAAGAUCAGCCACACUGGGACUGAGACACGGCCCAGACUCCUACGGGAGGUAGCAGUGGGGAAUAUUGCACAAUGGGGGAAACCCUGAUGCAGCCAUGCCGCGUGUGUGAAGAAGGCCUUCGGGUUGUAAAGCACUUUCAGUUGUGAGGAAAAGUUAGUAGUUAAUACCUGCUAGCCGUGACGUUAACAACAGAAGAAGCACCGGCUAACUCCGUGCCAGCAGCCGCGGCAAUACGGAGGGUGCGAGCGUUAAUCGGAAUUACUGGGCGUAAAGCGCACGCAGGCGGUUUGUUAAGCUAGAUGUGAAAGCCCCGGGCUCAACCUGGGAUGGUCAUUUAGAACUGGCAGACUAGAGUCUUGGAGAGGGGAGUGGAAUUCCAGGUGUAGCGGUGAAAUGCGUAGAUAUCUGGAGGAACAUCAGUGGCGAAGGCGACUCCCUGGCCAAAGACUGACGCUCAUGUGCGAAAGUGUGGGUAGCGAACAGGAUUAGAUACCCUGGUAGUCCACACCGUAAACGCUGUCUACUAGCUGUGUGUGUCUUUAAGACGUGCGUAGCGAAGCUAACGCGCUAAGUAGACCGCCUGGGGAGUACGGCCGCAAGGUUAAAACUCAAAUGAAUUGACGGGGGCCCGCACAAGCGGUGGAGCAUGUGGUUUAAUUCGAUGCAACGCGAAGAACCUUACCUACACUUGACAUGCUGAGAAGUUACUAGAGAUAGU